AUGCUCACUUUGGCAGCACAUAUACUAAAAUUGGAAUGAUACAGAGAAGAUUAGCAUGGCCCCUGCGCAAGAAUGACAUGCAAAUUCGUGAAGCGUUAAACAUUUUU
rnacentral:snRNA from 1 species